ensembl:lncRNA
CAGAGGAAACCGUUGUGCAUCCACAUUCUUCUGUCGGGAGAGAUGGAGUAAACAGUUUAGUCUCUAGUCUCGAUUUUCAGAGGUGGCUGUAUAGCGUGAGUACUAAAAUGUAUAAAUAUAAUACGCUACAAGAAAAGAUUUACGAGACCUCAAAUAUGUGCCUGUGGGGGAAAAAAAAACAAGAAUUCAUAACAAGUACAUAUACGGCACGUCUGGUAGUGAGCCACCAUUGGGCUGCUUUUCAUCAUGCUCUUUGAUGACUGGCGCCACCAGAGGGUACAGAGAUCAAACAACAGAUAAGAGAUAGACACCACGAGGGGAACACAGUGCACACGGCCCAAACACAACAUACGAUCAUUCUUGCUUCAGAACAAACACAUGUGGAAGGAGCAGGGACAAUGAUGUGCUGGACAGUUGGAGCACCAGUCCGCCUCCAUUGUAUUGUUGAUGAUCCUUGUGCCAUAAAAGUACAAGUAAAACCCAGAAGCAGACUGUCAAAUGGCUUAUUUUAUGGCCUUUGUGUUGUGACAUAAUUUUCAUGCAUUAAGCACAUUUAACAUAGUUGUUGUAGUCAAACCCAUGGGGUAAACAGCAUUAGGUCUGGUCCAUGUCGCAGUGUAUCCUAGCCAAAAUCGUCCCUUAUUGACAUGUAUCACUGAAUUCAAUGAUGACCUGCCUUUUUGCAUUAUUGACACACUAUUUUCCCAUUUAAUUCUAUACAGUUGCUUUGACACAAUCUGUAUUGUUAAAAGCGCUAUAUAAAUAAGGUGACUUGACAUGUAAAAUGACCUUUUAUGUGGCAUUUAGGGGUGAAUUUACUGUAUCUGCAUUACCAGUGUGAAAAUUAAUGUAGGUAAUGGUGCAACAGUCUCUAAGUGAAAGUGAAAGUCGUGACAUUUGCCAAGUAUGGUAACCCAUACUCGGAAUUGGUGCUCUGCAUUUAACCCAUCCAAGUGCGCACACACACAGCAGUAAGAAGUAAACACACAGUGAACACACUCCCGGAGCAGUGGGCAGCUAUAUCCAGCGCCCGGGGAGCAACUAUGGGUUCAGUGACUUGCUCAAGGGCACUUCAGCCAUGGGUAUUGAGGGUGGAAGAGAGCGCUGUUCAUUAACUCCCCCCCCACCUACAACUCCUGCCAGCACCGAGACUCGAACCUGUGACCUUCGGGUUACAACUCUCUAACCAUUAGGCCACAGCUGCCCCCUAAGUGGAUGCACAGAAAACACCAGAAAAUCAGUGACCUUCAGCAUCUGAAAUGACUGCUGAAAUAAUGAAUAAAAGUCCUUAACCUGUCAUGAAAAUAAUGUCACAGUGCAAAAGUUGUAAGAUUCCAAAAACCAACUUUAUAUUUUUUCGCACAGAAUUUAAUAUAGAAAUUGUAGUAGUAGUAGUGAUAAGAAUUAUUUAUUCUUUUUUUUUUUAUGUGUACUCAGUAGGAUAACUUGUCAUUUUAAUCAUAAUUUACAUAAAUAUAAAUGUAUACAAGCCAGUUUGAAAAGAGAAUUAAAUACAAAUGGGA